rnacentral:rRNA from 1 species
AUGAUGACUCUCGGUAAUGGAUAUCUCAGCCCUCGCAUCGAUGAAGAACAUAGCGAAAUGCGAUACCUGGUGUGAAUUGCAGAAUCCCAUGAACCAUCGAGUCUUUUGAAUGCAAGUUGCACCCGAGGCCAUUCGGCCGAGGGCACGCCUGCCUGGGUGUCAUGC